AGCGAACGCUGGCGGCAGGCCUAACACAUGCAAGUCGAACGAACCUUUCGGGGUUAGUGGCGGACGGGUGAGUAACACGUGGGAACGUGCCUUUAGGUUCGGAAUAACUCAGGGAAACUUGUGCUAAUACCGAAUGUGCCCUUCGGGGGAAAGAUUUAUCGCCUUUAGAACGGCCCGCGUCUGAUUAGCUAGUUGGUUGAGGUAAUGGCUCACCAAGGCGACGAUCAGUAGCUGGUCUGAGAGGAUGAUCAGCCACAUUGGGACUGAGACACGGCCCAAACUCCUACGGGAAGCAGCAGUGGGGAAUCUUGCGCAAUGGGCGAAAGCCUGACGCAGCCAUGCCGCGUGAAUGAUGAAGGUCUUAGGAUUGUAAAAUUCUUUCACCGGGGACGAUAAUGACGGUACCCGGAGAAGAAGCCCCGGCUAACUUCGUG
rnacentral:rRNA from 1 species